AAUCUUCACCAAACAAAAAUUUG
rnacentral:siRNA from 1 species